UAGUGAGUUUGAUCCUGGCUCAGAGUGAACGCUGGCGGCAGGCCUAACACAUGCAAGUCGAACGGCAGCACAGGGGAGCUUGCUCCCUGGGUGGCGAGUGGCGGACGGGUGAGGAAUGCGUCGGAAUCUGCCUAUACGUGGGGGAUAACGUAGGGAAACUUACGCUAAUACCGCAUACGACCUACGGGUGAAAGCCGGGGACCUUCGGGCCUGGCGCGGAUAGAUGAGCCGACGUCGGAUUAGCUAGUUGGCGGGUAAACGGCCCACCAAGGCGACGAUCCGUAGCUGGUCUGAGAGGA
rnacentral:rRNA from 1 species